UACGUAGGGUGCAAGCGUUAAUCGGAAUUACUGGGCGUAAAGCGUGCGCAGGCGGUUUUGUAAGUCUGGCGUGAAAUCCCCGGGCUCAACCUGGGAAUUGCGUUGGAGACUGCAAGGCUGGAGUCUGGCAGAGGGGGGUAGAAUUCCACGUGUAGCAGUGAAAUGCGUAGAGAUGUGGAGGAACACCGAUGGCGAAGGCAGCCCCCUGGGUCAAGACUGACGCUCAUGCACGAAAGCGUGGGGAGCAAACAGG
rnacentral:rRNA from 1 species